GUAACAAAUGGGUAACAGAUAAUCUUGUUACUGCUUGUUCUUGCUAACAUGCUUAUAUGUUAUAUGUAACAAACUGAUAACGAAAAUAAUAACACUGACAGAUAUUCGGGUAACAAAUACUUUUUGUUAUCCAUAACACACAGGUAAGCUGUGCGCUAACAAAAGAAUUUAUUACCCGUAACAUACUGUGAAGAGAUUUGCUAACAAAUGCAUGUAUUCUGUUAGAACAAGGCAGCAUGCGAUAUUUGCCAUUGGUUAGAGCGAGAUAACCAUUGAACAUCAAAUAGCUAUGUGUUAUUUUUUUCCCACUCUCUGAACAAAAGUAACAAAUAUUUUAACGAAUGCAAAAGUGAACAAUAACAAUAGCUUUUUGAAUAUUUGUUACCCGAAUAUCUGUUAGUGUUAUUAUUUUCGUUAUCAGUUUGUUACCUAUAACAUAUAAGCAUUUUAGCAAGAACAAGCAGUAACAAGAUUAUCUGUUACCCAUUUGUUACUUCUAGCAAAUUCAAUUACACUCAGUCCUUUUUUUACGCGAUCUCUUUUUACGCUAUUUCACUUUAACGCGGUUAUUUUUGCAGCGCAAAUUCCUUUUUUUACGCGAAUUUCUCACUUUAACGCGAUUGUUUUUUUUCGUUUUUUGCUUGGUCUUAAACUUGCAGCACAAUUGGAAAAUUAUUUUGUAGCAAAUGAUACUGAUGCCGAACGUGCACGAAUUUUUCAAAAAGAAUUACGUCUCUGCAUGUUAAGAUAUAAAGAACUACAACGGAAUUUAUUGGGUCCAAAAAGAAGCAUUCAAACAAAAUUAACUGAAUUUAUGGUGCAAACUUAGUCGGAGAUGCUAAGUCAAUUAGAACAUCAAUCCAUAGUUCUUACUAUUGAUUCUGAUACAAAUUCUAGUGAUAUCAGUGCCGGCCAUCAAAAAAAGCGACUAAGAAUAAUUUCCACUACGGAUAAUGACAGUGAUUAACCAGCAUUCAACGGUUUUUUCAAUAAAUCUACCUAUUUUCUAUUUUCUUCUCUUUUAUAUAUGGUUUUUGUUUUGUAUUUUUUAUUUUGUUGAAUGAAUAAAUCAUAAAUCUGAAAUUUGAACCUUAUUGUAUUGUUUUUGAAAUUUUUUUUUUGCGCGUAUAAUUUGUUAUACGCGAUAUUUUUUAUAUUCGGAACCAAUUCGUCAGUUAAUCAGCCCUAUUCUGCAUUUCUACUCGAAUCGAAAUUUUCUCCGAUUGGCAACUUUGGUAUUCUGCGUUUCGAUUCAACUUCGAAAAUUCCAAUUCUAUGUAUUCUGCAUUGCGAUCGUAAUUACGUUUUUGUACGUUGAAGUUUUGUUGGCGGAAAGCCGUUAUAUAUUCAUUUUCGUGCAUUUGGAUAAAAUAAUUUCCUCAAAUAUGUCAAAAGUAACAACGGCAGAGCAAUACGAAAAAUUGUGUGAUAUGAUGGCCACGAAAAGAGAUAUUGCGCACGGCUUCCAAAAGCGACCGAAGGAAGAAGUACAGGAGUUUUAAUAGGAGGUUGCAAGGAAUUUAAAUGCACUUGGCUCACCAACAAAAGAUUCCAAUACAUGGAGAAAGGUGAUAGCUUUGACGGGUUUGGAAACGGAUGAUAUCCCUUCAACCAGUAGAGCUAGCAGCCAAAAUAGAGAGGCGAGGGCAGACAAGCAGAGCACUUCUUCAUUACUUAAGCAACAGAUACAAAUCAAAAAGAAUUUUAUGCAGAGACGAAAAAAUUCAAUGAAGCUGCCUUUGGUAAAAUGGAAGAAGUUACUUCAUAUUUACGACACAUGAAUCGUUCUCUAGAAACUUUGGCGGAGACUGCAGUGAAGCAACCUGAAGAACAGAAGCGACACAAUAGAAUUAAGGAAGAGCUGGUGAAGGAAAAAGUAGAAAUAAAAAUGCAAAUGCUAAGAUUAGGUCCAAAUUAUAAGCCGGAUUCAAA